rnacentral:rRNA from 1 species
CCUANGGGUGGCUGCAGUCGAGAAUCUUCCGCAAUGGACGAAAGUCUGACGGAGCGACGCCGCGUGGAGGAUGAAGUGCUUCGGCAUGUAAACUCCUUUUGCCAGGGACGAAAUUUUUGACGGUACCUGGAGAAUAAGAAGUUGCUAAACUCGUGCCAGCAGCAGCGGUAAUACGAGUGCUUCGAGCGUUAUCCGGAAUCAUUGGGCGUAAAGGGUGUGUAGGUGGUCUUGUUAGUCUCGCGUUAAAUCUCUCGGCUCAACCGAGAACCUGCGCGGGAAACGGCAAGACUAGAGGACGGGAGAGGUUUCUGGAACUCAUAGUGUAGCGGUGAAAUGCGUUGAUAUUAUGGGGAACACCAAAAGCGAAGGCAAGAAACUGGCCCGCUCCUGACACUGAAACACGAAAGCGUGGGUCGCGAAUGGGAUUAGAUACCCCUNUANUC